AAGUCGUAACAAGGUUUCCGUAGGUGAACCUGCGGAAGGAUCAUUAACACGUAUCCAACGUUAAACCCCCCCGUGAACCUUCAUUGUGCUCCCCCAUUCGUUAGGACGCGGCAAUCCCUGGUAAAUCAUCGCCGAAAAGUUUUGAUUCAGGGACCUCUGCAUUGAGUGGGCAGCGCGAGGCAAGUGGCCUGGCAUUCGCCGGCGACCGGUCCAACUGUUAACAAUGGAUAUCUUGGUUCUC
rnacentral:misc_RNA from 1 species